rnacentral:rRNA from 1 species
GCGGCGCGCUUAACGCAUGCAAGUCGAGCGAUGAGGCUCCCUUCGGGGAGUACAUCAGCGGCAGACGGGUGAGUAACACGUAGGUAACCUGCCCUCAAGACGGGGAUAACGCCUGGAAACGGGCGCUAAUACCGGAUGACCUUAGUUGGGGAAGAUCCGAUUAAGGAAAGGCUAUGGCGCUUGAGGAGGGGCCUGCGGCCCAUCAGUUAGUUGGUAGGGUAACGGCCUACCAAGGCGAAGACGGGUAGGGGGUGUGAGAGCACGGCCCCCCACACUGGGACUGAGACACGGCCCAGACUCCUACGGGAGGCAGCAGCGGGGAAUAUUGCGCAAUGGACGGAAGUCAGACGCAGCGACGCCGCGUGGGUGAAGAAGGCCUUCGGGUUGUAAAGCCCUUUUCUGAGGGAAGAGAAAGGACGGUACCUUAGGAAUAAGCGUCGGCUAACUACGUGCCAGCAGCCGCGGUAAGACGUAGGACGCGAGCGUUAUCCGGAUUUACUGGGCGUAAAGCGUGUGUAGGCGGCGUGACAAGUUGGGCGUGAAAGCCCCGUGCUCAACGCGGGGAGGCCGCACAAUACUGUCAGGCUAGAGGGCACCAGAGGGGUGUGGAAUUCCCGGAGUAGCGGUAAAAUGCGCAGAUAUCGGGAGGAACACCGGUGGCGAAAGCGGCACCCUGGGGUGCGCCUGACGCUGAGAGACGACAGCUAGGGGAGCGAACAGGAUUAGAGACCCUGGUAGUCCUAGCCGUAAACGAUGGAUGCUAGGUGUAGGAGUGAAGAGCUUCUGUGCCGCAGCGAA